AGUGCCUCUGUGACAGGGGGUGUGCUUUCUGCCUAAAUGAAAGCACGCCCCUGUCACUACCAGUGAUGUAAUUGGCCAGUCGCGAAUCAACGGGAUGGAGGGGAAGGGACGAGACACAGCGUGUGCUGCCGCCUAUUAGCUCCCCGCCCUCCCAACACCCGGCAAUGCAGUCCGGCCAGAGGGGAGAUAGGAGCCGCCACCGCGAUACCCUUUUCACUCAGCUACCCCCCCCCCCCCCGCCCGGCGCACGGUCUCCUCGUCUGCCUGGUGUGAGGCAGCCAGAGCAGAGGAUAGCCGCUUGUAAUAGGAGGGAGAGAUCGCGGCUGGGGGCCGGGAGCUGCUACAGGCAUCUUCCGGAUCAUGUGAUCUCCUACAUGAAUAGUGAUUACCGACUGAAGACGCUGUCUGCCCAGGAAGGAUACAUUUCUUCAGAGGUUCCCCGUUAUGAGAAACCACCAUAAAGCUCCUAUCUGUGAUGACAGAGGCUGCUGUAAGGAAAUGAUAAUUCCCUUCUGCCAUCCCACAGACAAGCGGCAGAGCCUGACAGGAGGAGAGGAACAGAAGCUGCUGCAUGUUAAUCAUUGCUAUGGAGAAAUCUGCUCUCUGAAGCCUGCUUCACACCUCCCCUGAUUUGCAUGGUUUGUAAUGAUCUAUUUCACACUUGAAUUAUGUUCUGCCAUAAAGAUUAAAAUGUAUAUUUAAAAGACAUAUAAGAGACACAAACACUGCUCCGUUACUGUCCAUUUUAUGACUUUGAUGCAUUUUAUGAUGAUGCCCAAAGUAAACAUAUUAACAGAGAUCCUAUAUUGGCUAUUUACGAUGUAAGGAAUAGGAAGAGAGCGGGAAAAAGCCAUUUGCCUGAUGAAGAUAUUAAGUGCCUGCUUUUGCAGGUUGUUGUGCUCCAAUGUGUGUGGUAGGAAGAAGACUCUUGCUGGUAGAAACUAAUUGAUCUUGACGAGGAUCAAACCAGCGAGAAAUGAGGUUAAUGUGGUUUAUGAUUUUGUCAUUGUUAAUAUAAUUGUUAUUAUUACUGUUUUGCAUAGUGCUAACCUGUCCAACAAUCAAAGAUGUGUUAUCCAAGCACAUCAGUCCCUAGCCCAAUGGAGUUUACAUUCUAUUUUCCCUACUGUAGCAUUCAAAGACAUACUGUACCAGGGACAAAUUAGCCAUCAUUAUGUGUUUAGGCCUUGCAAGGAGACCAGAGCACUCAGCUGAAAAGUUUGCUCUUUUGUGACCAUCUCUGGUCUGAUUCAGAGAUGGAUACAGGAGAGGGGACACUCGCAGAUUCCUAAUAAUUGGGAAUCUGCAGCUGUGCAAGACCCAUUCAUGCGCAGAACAGGCCUCUCAUUAUAGCCUGUACUCAGAGCCGGUCCUAGGCAUAGGCAAACUAGGCAAAUGCCUAGGGCAUUUGGUAUGCCUAGGGGCAUCAGCAGCUUCUGUUGAUUAAAAUGAUAUGCGGCAUGCCUAUAUUCUGCGUGUAGCAUUUCAUAUGCAGAUACAGCCACAGUCUCACACAGUAUAGGCAUGCUGCAUAUCAUUUUAAUCAGCAGAAGCUGCUUGUGCAUCCUAGCCACACAGCAAUGCAAAUAAGAUGCAUUUUCAUAAAAAAAGGGUGCACAACGUUAGCAUUGAGGCAAGAUUUAUGAGGACACAUCUUUAUCCAAGGUAGAGGUCACAGUGUUAGCGGCCGUGUGAGUGCUGUGUGUGUGGGUUGGGUGUGCAGUAGUAUUCGGCAUAUGUGUAAGGGGCAUUUUGUGUGUCAUGUGUAAAAAUGCAUUAAUAAUGUGCGGCGUAUGUGUAAGGGGCACUGUGUGUGUCAUUAUGUGUAUAAGGGCAUUAAUAAUGUGCGGCAUAUAUGUAAGGGGUACUAUGUGUGUCAUUAUGUGUAUAGGGGCACUAAUAAUGUGCAGCAUAUGUGUAAGGGACAUUAUGUGUCUCAUUAUGUGUAUAAGGGCAUUAAAAAAGCUUGUCAUAAUGUGUAAGGCGCAUUAUGUUUAUUAGGACAUUAAUAAUGUGUGUCAUAUGUGUGAGGGGCAUUACUUUGUGGUAUUAUGUGUAUAAAUGCAUUAAUAAUGUGUGACAUUAUGUGUAUAAGGUGCUCUACUGUGUGGCGUAACGUAUAGCAAGGGCACUACUGUGUGGUCUAAUGUGAAUAAAGAGCAAUAUGGAGUGGUACAAUAUGAAUGAGCAGCAAUUCAGUGUGAUGUAAUGUGAAUAAGGGGCUCUACUGUGAGGAGUAACGUAUAAAAGGUAAAGUGGUACUACUGUGUGAUGUACUAUGAAUUAUGGACACUAUCGCAUGAUAAAAUGUGAAUAAAGUUGCAGUACUGUGUGGCGUAAUUUGAAUUGGGGUUACUAUUGUGUGGCCAUGCCCCUUGCCAGCAAAAACACACCCCGUUUUUGGGCUGUGCACCGAAUGUGCGCACUGGUCUUAUUUAAAAUAUAGGGGGUAGGAGCACCAAAAUAAGGACUGCUAUGGGUGAGGGGUGAUGGUGCUGGGAAAGGGAUGCAGGGUCAGAGGCAGAACUAGCAGUGGUGCUAGGGGGCACCAUCCAAAUCUUGCCUAGGGCAUCAUAUUGGUUAGGGCCGGCUCUGCCUUUACUUCACCUCUGCCACUGCCUGAAUGAAAUGCACUGGUGUUGAACGGGGGAAAAGGGGGCGAGGGAAGGCCUGUGUUCCUGGGAGAGGAGAGCCAAGGGUCUGUGUGUCACCGUGCAUGCUUCCUGGCCUCACAGACCCCUGUCCGUUUAUCAGUUGCGUAAGCUUAGGCUUACUCAGCUGGCCGACUGUGUGAGCAUCGUGUCCAUUUGUCACAAUGUUGGAUCCCAGCAUGUGACGUCGGUCGCAGUGCUGGGAUUGCAGCUACAUGCAGAAUACAUCUCUACUACUGAGACGUCUUCAAAUCGGCUUACAUGCGCCAUUGAAUUUCCAUCCAUCUCUUAAUCAGGCCUUGUGUUCCCAAAUCCCUAAUAUGAAGAAAGCAGCCACAAUGUCCCCUUACUAUGAUGAUUUACUCAAUGCAGUCAGCAAGAGGCAGCAUAAAAGGAAAUGAAAGUAGAUUGAGGUAAAACGGAUCAAAAAAAUACUGAUUUGAUCUUGAAAGAAAAUGACAAUCAAGCUUUCUUAAAUUGUUUCCAAAAGAUAGAGACAAUGAAUCAACUCAAAGAAACUAAAAUUUUAUAUUAAUU